rnacentral:lncRNA from 1 species
AGCCAGAGUGCUUUGUCCGAGCUCAAAAAAGCCGUCUCCAUGGAAGCGGCCCUUCCGCUCGGAGCCCGGCGGCCUGGAGGGAGACCCGGCGGGGAUGCGAGGAUUCCGCCCCAGCCCCAGAGGACGCGGCGGAGAGCCUGGAGGAGGCGCUUUGAGAGUCGAGGUCUCCCGCCCGCGCGCCUCCCUGGCGCAGACCUCUUUUAACUUUUUGGCGUGGAGUGCGCGUCCUGACGUGCCCCCUGAGCUACAGCUUACUGAGCUUUACUGGCUUCGCCGGACAGCCGUCCCCAGGUGGAGAGACAGCGCGUCGCGCGCUGCCCGGGCCCCGCAGGGCCUGGCGCCUGGGGCCCUUGCGCCGCUUUGGGGCGAGGGGAUCACACCGCGGGCUCCCGGAGCUUAGCGUCUUCCACGCGGCGCUGUGUGUCAUCCACGCAGUGUGCUCUCGCUGCCGUGUUCAGGUCACUGCGAGGGUGAGCCCCGCUUUAUCUACCCCUUCUGCUGUUGAUGGGCACUCGUCUGGGGCUAGAAGGGAUAAGGUUGCUGUGAGCGUUCUCGUGUGUUUUUGGUGCACGCGCACACACAUUUCUCUGGGGUGCAGACCUGUCUAGUAGUGGAACUGCCGUUUCCCAGCACUUUGGAGCAAAGCCCUGUUGCAGUCUGAAGCGGAAAAGGCAGACGGGCCUUCCAUGUUCGUGAUUCCAGCCAGGCACAGAAGGGAAGGACAGGGACAGCAGCCGCGCGGAGGCGAGGAGGGACACUGGGCGCUGCUGUCCCCUCUCAGGGGCAGCCACUCCUCUUGUGGACGCAGGUGUGGUCACCAGAAGGGAAGGACAGCAGAGGACUCUUCAGGGACCUUCCUGGAUCCCCCUGCAAUGGGAGUGGCCUACUUGCUUGACUUGAGGGUGAGACUUGGUCAGCCCUUGACUGUAGGGGGCAGGACCAUGGGCUUCAGUGGGGCAGCACCCAUGACCCACGCCUCUGCUUCCAUUCCCUGCUUACUGCCCGGGCCUCUGGGCAGGGGAGUCUAGUCUCCCUUCCCAGGCUUCCAAUGCCUCGCCCCCUGCUGUGGUAAGGAUUCGCGCUGGUCCCUAUUUAUUAAUCAGGGAACUUGGGGUUCCAGUUUUCUCCCCUUCUCUGCAUCUCAUCCCCUUGAGAGCCCCCUGGAGCAGAGGAUAACGCACGAGGGGACUGGCUGUGUAUAUUUUGAUAACAAUAUCAAAAUACUGUCAAAUACUAAACGGAAAAGAAAUAGGAAAACAUUGAACUUUAUUAAAAUGAACUUCAAAAGACACCAUUAAGAGUAAAAAGAUGACUCACAAAAAAGUUGCCUUUUGUUCAGUAAACGACUCAGGACCAGAAAAUAUGAAGACCCCUACAACAAGAAAAAUAUAGAUAGCUCAGUUAAAAAUUGACAAAAGACUUGAAAAGAUAUUUCACAAAAGGAGAGAUCCAGACAGUCAAUCCACACACGAAAGGGUACUUAGCAUCAGGGAACUGCAAAUAGUGACAUUCGAUUCCAUAUCACAGCCACUGGAUGGCUAAAAUAGCAACGCCAAGUGCUGAUGAGACUGUGGAACAACCAGCUGGGCUCUCAUACCCUGCUGAUGGGAGAGUGGAUUGGAGCAACCACGUGGAAACAUCUAAUGGAGGUAAGCAAACGCCUGCCAUAGGAACCAGCGUGUAUAUCCAAGGGAACCGAGUGCUAGGUUCCUGAUCAUGGUCAAGAUCGCCUACAGCAAAUUUACUUAUUUAUUUUAAUCCCCCAACAAAUGUCUUUAAUGUCUUUAGAAAGAUUAAUUAAAUGGUAGUAUUUUAAGAAUGCAAUGGUAUACUGCACAGCAACAAAAAAAUAACAAACUGCUAAUACUUGCAGCAACAUGGAUAAAUCUCAAAGUAUUGAAUGCAAAGCUACAAUAGAGUGCAUAACUAAGGAUUCCAUUAUAUAAAAUACAAAAUCCAGGCAAGACUGAUCUACAGUGUUAGAGGUCAGGAGAGAAUUUUGGAGGUAGUUGCUUGGGCACCGGGAUACUGCGUGGGGAGCUGUGAGUGCUGCAUAUCUUUAGCUGCGUCCUGCUUGGAGUGCAUACUCUGUGAAAAUUCAUCAACCUGUGCACUUAAGACUUGUGUACUUACAUUAUCUUUCAGGAAAAAGAAAAGAAAAGUAUGCCAAACUUUACCCUUCACCUUUCUUCUCAAAAUGGUCAGGUUUCAGAGCUGUGGUAGAAACUUCUAGUACUGACAACAGCCAGUACCUCCCCGCUUGGCAGCUGAGACUAUGGGACCAGUUCUGGCCAAUGGAAUGUGAGGGGAAAUGACGGAUGUCAAUUCCAGGCUGAAGCUUUUAGUUGCCAGAGCCAGGUCCUCCAGUCCUACCUUUCCACUGUGGCAGUCCCUCUGAAGUCCCAAGAUCAAGAGCUGACAGCUGAAUCCUUGCAUGGAGAGUCGCCUGGACCUGCAGUGGACUCUGGAUGAGGGAGUAUACACCGAAAGGGAGGCAUGACAGCUCCACAUCUGUGUUCACCCUUGUGGAUCCCAGGUGAGACUCCAGAUGAAAUGGGAGAGUUCUCUGACCCCCUCACAGGACAUGUGACAGGAGUGUGGCUAGUCUGUUCAGCCUCCACCACUGCUGAAACACCUUAUGGGAGGGGGAGCAUGCAGAUGGGCAAGCGCAGGUGCCAGGGCCAGCGCUUUUGGGCUUCAACCCCAUGGUGGCAUCUAGGGGUGUGUGUCUGUGACUCCUGAAGCCCCAGUGUGUGUGCUCCAGUGCUCUUUUAGCUCUGCUGUCUGUCAGGCCUCUGAGCCCAAGCUAAGCCAUCAGAUCCCCUGUGACCUGCACGUAUACAUCCAGACGGCCUGAAGCAACUGAAGAACCACAAAAGAAGUGAAAAUAGCCAGUUCCUGCCUUAACUGAUGACAAUCCACCAUUGUGAUUUGUUCCUGCCCCACCCUAACUGAUCAAUUGGCCUUGUGACAUUCCUUCUCCUGGGCAACGAGUCUCAUGAUCUCCCCACCCUGCACCUUGUGAGCCCCGUCCCUGCCCACAAGAGAUAACCACCUUUAACUGUAAUUUUCCACUACCUACCCAAAUCAUAUAAAACUGUCCCACCCCUAUCUCCCUUUGCUGACUUCUUUUUCAGACUCAGUCUGCCUGCACCCAGGUGAUUAAAAAGUUUUAUUGCUCACACAAAGCCUGUUUGGUGGUCUCUUCACAUGGACUCUUGUAACAUUUGGUGCUGAAAAACCUGGGACAGGGGAUCUCCCUCGGGAGAUCAAUCCCCUGUCCUUGCCCUCUCUCCGUGAGGAGAUCCACCUAUGACGUCGGAUCCUCAGACCAGCCCAAGGAACAUCUCACCAAUUUUAAAUCAGGUAAGUGGCCUCUUUUUAUUCUCUUCUCCAAGCUUUCUUGCUAUCCCUCCACCCUUCAAUCUCUCCCUUCCUUAAUUUCAGUUCCUUUCCCUUUCUGGUAGAGACAGAGGAGACACAUUUUAUCCGUGAACUCAAAACUCCAGUGCCAGUCAUGGACUCGGGAAGACAGUCUUCCCUUGGUGUCUAAUCACUGCGGGGAUGCCUGCCUGAUUAUUCACCCAUAUUUCAGAGGUGUCUGAUCACCACGGGGAUGCCUGCCAUGAUCCUUCACCUUGGCGGCAAGUACCACCUCCCCUGGGUGGCAAGUACCACCCCCCCGCCCAACCCCGUGUCUCUACCCUCUCUUUUCUCUAAACUUACCUUUUUACUAUGGGCAACCUUCCACCCUCCAUUCCUCCUUCUCCUCCUUUAGCCUGUGUUCUAAAAAACUUAAAACCUC